UGGGGAAUAUUGCACAAUGGGGGAAACCCUGAUGCAGCAACGCCGCGUGGGUGAAGAAGUAUUUCGGUAUGUAAAGCCCUAUCAGCAGGGAAGAAGAAGGACGGUACCUGACUAAGAAGCCCCGGCUAACUACGUGCCAGCAGCCGCGGUAAUACGUAGGGGGCAAGCGUUAUCCGGAUUUACUGGGUGUAAAGGGAGCGUAGACGGUUUCAUAAGUCUGAAGUGAAAGGCCAAGGCUUAACCAUGGAACUGCUUUGGAAACUAUGAGGCUAGAGUGCUGGAGAGGUAAGCGGAAUUCCUAGU
rnacentral:rRNA from 1 species